rnacentral:rRNA from 1 species
AGUUUGAUCCUGGCUCAGGACGAACGCUGGCGGCGCGCCUAACACAUGCAAGUCGAACGGAGCUGUUUUCUCUGAAGUUUUCGGAUGGAAGAGAGUUCAGCUUAGUGGCGAACGGGUGAGUAACACGUGAGCAACCUGCCUUUCAGUGGGGGACAACAUUUGGAAACGAAUGCUAAUACCGCAUAAGACCACAGUGUCGCAUGGCACAGGGGCCAAAGGAUUUAUCCGCUGAAAGAUGGGCUCGCGUCCGAUUAGCUAGAUGGUGAGGUAACGGCUCACCAUGGCGACGAUCGGUAGCCGGACUGAGAGGUUGAACGGCCACAUUGGGACUGAGACACGGCCCAGACUCCUACGGGAGGCAGCAGUGGGGAAUAUUGCACAAUGGGGGAAACCCUGAUGCAGCGACGCCGCGUGGAGGAAGAAGGUCUUCGGAUUGUAAACUCCUGUCCCAGGGGACGAUAAUGACGGUACCCUGGGAGGAAGCACCGGCUAACUACGUGCCAGCAGCCGCGGUAAAACGUAGGGUGCAAGCGUUGUCCGGAAUUACUGGGUGUAAAGGGAGCGCAGGCGGAUUGACAAGUUGGGAGUGAAAUCUAUGGGCUCAACCCAUAAAUUGCUUUCAAAACUGUCAGUCUUGAGUGGUGUAGAGGUAGGCGGAAUUCCCGGUGUAGCGGUGGAAUGCGUAGAUAUCGGGAGGAACACCAGUGGCGAAGGCUUUUUACUGGGCACUAACUGACGCUGAGGGCUCGAAAGCAUGGGUAGCAAAACAGGAUUAGAUACCCUGGUAGUCCAUGCCGUAAACGAUGAUUACUAGGUGUGGGAGGAUUGACCCCCUUCCGUGCCGCAGUUAACACAAUAAGUAAUCCACCUGGGGAGUACGACCGCAAGGUUGAAACUCAAAGGAAUUGACGGGGGCCCGCACAAGCAGUGGAGUAUGUGGUUUAAUUCGAAGCAACGCGAAGAACCUUACCUGGUCUUGACAUCCCAGUGACGCAUGAGUAAAGUCAUGUUUCCUUCGGGACACUGGAGACAGGUGGUGCAUGGUUGUCGUCAGCUCGUGUCGUGAGAUGUUGGGUUAAGUCCCGCAACGAGCGCAACCCCUAUUUCCAGUAGCCAGCAUGUAAAGAUGGGCACUCUGGAGAGACUGCCUGGGAUAACUAGGAGGAAGGCGGGGAUGACGUCAAAUCAUCAUGCCCCUUAUGAUCAGGGCUACACACGUGCUACAAUGGCGUAAACAAAGGGAAGCGAAGUGGUGACGCCAAGCAAAUCCCAAAAAUAACGUCCCAGUUCGGAUUGUAGUCUGCAACUCGACUACAUGAAGCUGGAAUCGCUAGUAAUCGCGAAUCAGAAUGUCGCGGUGAAUACGUUCCCGGGUCUUGUACACACCGCCCGUCACACCAUGGGAGUCGGAAAUGCCCGAAGUCAGUGACCUAACCGAAAGGGAGGAGCUGCCGAAGGUGGAGCCGGUAACUGGGGUGAAGUCGUAACAAGGUAACC